GUACAACCAAACCUCCGCAAUGGACGGGACCACUCCCUUAUCUAAGAGCCACACCUCUAAGAAUUAAAACACUAACAUAAAAUGAUCCAUGAUCUGAUCAAUGAACCAAGUUACCCUGGGGAUAACAGCGCAAUCCAUUUCAAGAGCCCUUAUCGACAAGUGGGUUUACGACCUCGAUGUUGGAUCAGGGUAUCCUAGUGGUGCAGCAGCUACUAAUGGUUCGUUUGUUCAACGAUUAAAACCCU
rnacentral:rRNA from 1 species